rnacentral:rRNA from 1 species
UACGUAGGGUGCAAGCGUUAAUCGGAAUUACUGGGCGUAAAGCGUGCGCAGGCGGCUAUGCAAGACAGAUGUGAAAUCCCCGGGCUCAACCUGGGAACUGCAUUUGUGACUGCAUGGCUAGAGUACGGUAGAGGGGGAUGGAAUUCCGCGUGUAGCAGUGAAAUGCGUAGAUAUACGGAGGAACACCGAUGGCGAAGGCAAUCCCCUGGACCUGUACUGACGCUCAUGCACGAAAGCGUGGGGAGCAAACAGG